rnacentral:rRNA from 1 species
UAGGGAAUAUUAGAAAUGGACGAAAGUCUGAUCUAGCAACACCGCGUGUGCGAAGAAGGCCUUCGGGUUGUAAAGCACUUUUUGGAAGGAUUAGGAAGGAAUGUACUUCCAGAAUAAGUCUCGGCUAACUACGUGCCAGCAGCCGCGGUAACACGUAGGAGGCAGACGUUAUCCGGAUUUAAUGGGCGUAAAGCGCGUGUAGGUGGUUCUGGAAGUAGGGCGUGAAAGCUCCUGGCUCAACUGGGAGAGGCCGUUCUAAACUGCAGAGCUAGAGGAUGG